AGUGAACGCUGGCGGUAGGCCUAACACAUGCAAGUCGAACGGCAGCACAGUAAGAGCUUGCUCUUACGGGUGGCGAGUGGCGGACGGGUGAGGAAUACAUCGGAAUCUACUUUUUCGUGGGGGAUAACGUAGGGAAACUUACGCUAAUACCGCAUACGACCUACGGGUGAAAGCAGGGGAUCUUCGGACCUUGCGCGAUUGAAUGAGCCGCUGUCGGAUUAGCUAGUUGGCGGGGUAAAGGCCCACCAAGGCGACGAUCCGUAGCUGGUCUGAGAGGAUGGUCGGCCACACGGGAACGGGGACACGGACCAUGCGCCUGCGGGAGGCAGCAGUGGGGAAUAUUGGACAAUGGGCGCAAGCCUGAUCCAGCCAUACCGCGUGGGUGAAGAAGGCCUUCGGGUUGUAAAGCCCUUUUGUUGGGAAAGAAAAGCAGCAGGUUAAUACCCCGCUGUUCUGACGGUACCCAAAGAAGAAGCACCGGCUAACUUCGUG
rnacentral:rRNA from 1 species